ACAGAUAUAAUCCUUGCAAAAUAUGGCAUCAUUGCAUCUUUGCCCUUUUUGAUCUUCUGUAUUACUGAAUCGACAUUUUAUUUAUUAAGCCUUUGAGAAUCCUGUUAACUCUGUGAUGGAGAAUACAGAUUAUGCUUAGGAACUUGCCCUAUUUUUCAGUUGCAUGACUUUCUCAUUUUUGACUUAACUACUCAUGUCGUCCUUUUUCUCUUGUUCACAGCAAUGUUUAGGACAGUUGAACUUCAGAAGACUUCAAACAACAUCAGUAGGAUAAUUGAUGCUAACUGGAAUGAACAUAUGAAAACUUAUGUUGAAGCAGGGUGCAAACAACAGUCACAAAGUGUUCAAAAUAUGUAUAAUUAAGCAGCAACCAAGAGUGCUACGGCUUUGGAUGACUCUUUUUGUGAAGAAAUGUUAAAAGAUAUUUCCUUUGAGGAAGAAAAGGAACCAUUGCCCAAGCAUCCUCAAGAUACAUCAAUAUCAGAAGUCAUGCUAAUGAAGAUCAUCAGUGAUAUGUUGAAACUCGACUAUGCCAUGCAGAAAAAUAUUGUUUUGAACUUGAACAUUGGGACAAGUGUAUCUGAACUAGAAGGCUAUUGUCUCAUGUGGAAUCUGCAUCCAUACAUAGAUGAUGACAUUAUACAUCGGGCAUGGCGAUAUG